rnacentral:rRNA from 1 species
GGCGGCAGGCCUAACACAUGCAAGUCGAGCGGUAGCACAGAGAGCUUGCUCUCGGGUGACGAGCGGCGGACGGGUGAGUAAUGUCUGGGAAACUGCCUGAUGGAGGGGGAUAACUACUGGAAACGGUAGCUAAUACCGCAUAACGUCGCAAGACCAAAGUGGGGGACCUUCGGGCCUCAUGCCAUCAGAUGUGCCCAGAUGGGAUUAGCUGGUAGGUGGGGUAACGGCUCACCUAGGCGACGAUCCCUAGCUGGUCUGAGAGGAUGACCAGCCACACUGGAACUGAGACACGGUCCAGACUCCUACGGGAGGCAGCAGUGGGGAAUAUUGCACAAUGGGCGCAAGCCUGAUGCAGCCAUGCCGCGUGUGUGAAGAAGGCCUUCGGGUUGUAAAGCACUUUCAGCGGGGAGGAAGGCGGUGAGGUUAAUAACCUCAUCGAUUGACGUUACCCGCAGAAGAAGCACCGGCUAACUCCGUGCCAGCAGCCGCGGUAAUACGGAGGGUGCAAGCGUUAAUCGGAAUUACUGGGCGUAAAGCGCACGCAGGCGGUCUGUCAAGUCGGAUGUGAAAUCCCCGGGCUCAACCUGGGAACUGCAUUCGAAACUGGCAGGCUAGAGUCUUGUAGAGGGGGGUAGAAUUCCAGGUGUAGCGGUGAAAUGCGUAGAGAUCUGGAGGAAUACCGGUGGCGAAGGCGGCCCCCUGGACAAAGACUGACGCUCAGGUGCGAAAGCGUGGGGAGCAAACAGGAUUAGAUACCCUGGUAGUCCACGCUGUAAACGAUGUCGAUUUGGAGGUUGUGCCCUUGAGGCGUGGCUUCCGGAGCUAACGCGUUAAAUCGACCGCCUGGGGAGUACGGCCGCAAGGUUAAAACUCAAAUGAAUUGACGGGGGCCCGCACAAGCGGUGGAGCAUGUGGUUUAAUUCGAUGCAACGCGAAGAACCUUACCUGGUCUUGACAUCCACAGAACUUUCCAGAGAUGGAUUGGUGCCUUCGGGAACUGUGAGACAGGUGCUGCAUGGCUGUCGUCAGCUCGUGUUGUGAAAUGUUGGGUUAAGUCCCGCAACGAGCGCAACCCUUAUCCUUUGUUGCCAGCGGUCCGGCCGGGAACUCAAAGGAGACUGCCAGUGAUAAACUGGAGGAAGGUGGGGAUGACGUCAAGUCAUCAUGGCCCUUACGACCAGGGCUACACACGUGCUACAAUGGCAUAUACAAAGAGAAGCGACCUCGCGAGAGCAAGCGGACCUCAUAAAGUAUGUCGUAGUCCGGAUUGGAGUCUGCAACUCGACUCCAUGAAGUCGGAAUCGCUAGUAAUCGUAGAUCAGAAUGCUACGGUGAAUACGUUCCCGGGCCUUGUACACACCGCCCGUCACACCAUGGGAGUGGGUUGCAAAAGAAGUAGGUAGCUUAA